rnacentral:tRNA from 1 species
AUCUUUCUAGUACGAAGGUUAGUACCCGUGACUUCCAAUCACUCAGUCUUGGUUCAAGUCCAAGGAAAGAUA